UCUAAUACCGGAUACUGAUCCGCCUGGGCAUCCAGGCGGUUCGAAAGCUCCGGCGGUGCAGGAUGAGCCCGCUGCCUAUCAGCUUGUUGGUGAGGUAAUGGCUCACCAAGGCGACGACGGG
rnacentral:rRNA from 1 species